UUAAUAUUCAGCGCUUUUUUACACGAAAAGACUGGGACUAGGUGAUUUGGGGGCGGGGCGGAGGAAGGACACAAGCCUUGCUUCCUCCGCCCCGCCCCCAAAUCACCUAGUCCCAGUCUUUUCAUGUUAAAAAGCGCUGAAUAUAAA